UACGUAGGGGGCAAGCGUUGUCCGGAUUUAUUGGGCGUAAAGAGCGUGUAGGCGGUUCGGUAGGUCCGUUGUGAAAACUCGGGGCUCAACCUCGAGACGCCGAUGGAAACCAUCGAACUAGAGUCCGGAAGAGGAGAGUGGAAUUCCUGGUGUAGCGGUGAAAUGCGCAGAUAUCAGGAAGAACACCCGUGGCUAAGGCGGCUCUCUAGUACGGUACUGACGCUGAGACGCGAAAGCGUGGGGAGCGAACAGG
rnacentral:rRNA from 1 species